CGUCGGUGCCAUUUCAGCAAAAUUUGAUUGGUUAGUACUUUCUUCUCUGAACUGUGAUUGGUCAGUUCCACGAGUCCCCAACAAGCCAAGUUACCAGCGGAACCUUCUUUUCUUUCUACUGCUCUCUUCGAAUCCUCAGCUGGGCUCUAUUUUUUUCACUCGAAUCAUUCAAACCGUAAAAAGAAACCAUGCUUGCUCGGAAAUCUGCGACAUGGAUUUUGUUGCUGCUUGUGAUCUUUUCCAUCUUCUUUGACUCAUCAGUGGCCCAACUUGAUUCUUGCUGGGCUGCUAAGAAGAGAAAAAUGCGGGAGAAAGUCAGAAAAAUGUUCUACCAUGCGUAUGAAAACUACAUAACACAUGCAUUUCCGCAUGAUGAGCUAAAGCCUCUCACCAAGUCUUUCACUGACUCACUUAGUGAACUUGGAAAUCUGAAGGUAUUUUGUUUUAUGUUAUAUAGGCAUAUGUAAUAUAUGUUUAUAAAGGGAAAUUGACAAUCUGCGAUCUUGUUUACAGCUUGAACACUUGCCACAAGACUAUAAUGGAUCUGCACUCACGCUCGUUGAAUCAUUGUCUAGCCUUGUUAUUUUAGGCAAUUACACAGAAUUUGGAAGGGCAGUUCUUUGGCUUUCUGAAAAUCUAAAAUUUGAUGUUGAUGCAAGGGUAAACCUAUUUGAGUGCAAUAUAAGAGUUCUUGGAGGACUUAUUUCUGCUCAUCUUCUUGCAACUGACUCUACAAAUAGAUUGCUUCAAGGAUCUUACAAGCAUCAGUUGCUUUGGCUGGCUGAAGAUUUAGGGCAACGCUUCCUACCUGCAUUUGAUACACCCAGUGGAUUGCCAUAUGCGUGGAUUAACUUAAAGGUACUGACAGAAACAUGAUUAAUUUUAGUGAUUAUCCCAAUACUCAAAUAAAUUUUAAAUUUACAAUUAGUUCUAGAUUUAUUUUUUUCACAAAGAAAAGAUUAUGCAAAAUUACACAUUUUUCUGUAAAUUUACAACUAGAAGUCACUAUAUCUGUAACAAGAAGAAAAGAAGUUGUACCUUUACAGAAUUCAAGUCAUCAUGCCCUCAAAAAAUAAAAUAUAUGUGUAUGGUAAAGUGAUAUUAAUGCUAUAUAUUGGUUAGUAGGUUUCACAACUUAUAUUCUUCAAGACUAAAAUAUCAUAUUUUUGCAAAUGGGUAACUUUGCCAGGGGUCAGUAGCAGAAUAUUUGGACUGGUUAUUUUAGUUAAACAACUAAGAUUCCAAGAAGGUGGAAAGAAUUCGACUGGUCCAAAUGUUGCCUGUACACAAAGAAUUACUGAAUUCCUUAUACAUAUUGAUCUUAAGGCAUAAUCGGGAAUAGUUUGAAUGUUAAUGUCAAUCAACAUUUACCUUUCUAGUUUUAGGAAGCAUGAAUCUAUUGUGCUUGUUUUGUUUGUUAGAGGGAUAUAUGACUCUGCAGCACUGCAAAAUUCUGUGGACAGUAUGGAGUCAUGGAGAAUGAGACAACUGAAACAAGCACCUCAGGGUGUGGUUCUCUGAUCCUUGAAAUGGGAGCAUUAUCGCAAUUAACUGGUGAUCCUAGAUAUGAGUCUGCAGCUUUACGUGCUCUUCGGAAGUUAUGGAGUAUGCGCAGUUCAUUAAACUUGUUAGGAACAACGUUGGAUGUUGCAACUGGUGAAUGGAUUGAGCAUUCAUCUGGGAUUGGAGCUGGGGUUGAUUCAUUCUAUGAGUAUCUUUACAAGGCUCACAUUCUUUUCGGAAAGGAGGAUUUCUGGAGAAUGUUUCAUUCUGCUUAUCUUGCUGUGCAGAAAUAUUUCAGACAUGGCCCAUGGUACCAUGAAGCUGACAUGAGGACUGGAAAAGCAACUUAUUGGCAACUGACAAGCCUUCAAGCCUUUUGGCCUGGUCUACAGGUUCUUGUUGGGGAUAUUGCAGCUGCCAAUUCAUCGCAUCGGGAAUUUUUUUAUUUGUGGAAGAAGUUUGGGGUGCUACCUGAAAGGUAUUUGCUGGAUCAUCUAACAGUACAUCCUACAGAGAAGUAUUAUCCAUUGCGCCCUGAAUUGGCAGAGUCCACAUUCUACUUAUAUCAAGCAACAAAAGGUCUGGUUAUCAUCUUGGUCAGUUUUUUAGUUUAAAAGUUUUUCCCUUAAAAAUUGUUUAGUUUGGUAGUUUUUGCCAUAUCCUAGAUGCACAAUUUGCCAACCCAAAGAAGAGGAGGAUUUGGUGGGAGAGUGGAAUUCUUUUUCCCAUCCCCUCUUUUCAGGGUGAUGUACAUUAAUUAUUCUACAAGGGAGUAACUUCAGUAUUAGUUUAUGCCUUAACAAAAUAGAUAAAUUUGCUGAAAUAAAAUUAUGUUUAUUUGCUAAUUUAUUAAACCCUCAAUUUGAUUGCCUUCGAUUGAGCAUGAAUGGAGAUUAAGAAAGGGAUGUACCUCUGAGCUUCUGCAGGCAUGCAUCUUGUCAUGUUGAAGUGAAGCACUACCAUUACAGGCAUGCAUCUAGGCAUCUUAAGUAAAGCACUACCAUUUUACCAAUUAGAUCAUGGUCACUGCUAUGAAGCUGAACUGAAAUAAAAAUCUUGACUUUACCUAUUCUGAACUUGUGAACAUUGUUUUUGCAUGUUCUAGAUCCAUGGUAUAUACACGUGGGUGAAUCAAUUGUUAAUUCCCUUAAUUUAUACGCCAAAGUGGAAGGAGGUUUUGCCAGCAUUAGAGACGUGACAACUAUGCAAAGGGAAGAUCAUCAGCAUAGUUUCUUUCUUGCUGAAACGUGCAAGUACUUGUAUCUUCUUUUUGAUGAUUCAUUUUUGGUCAAUCGAAAUUAUAUAUUCACAACUGAGGGCCAUCCUUUACCCGUGCUAAGUGCUUGGCAUGAUAGGCUUCCAGAGACGUACAUCCCUUCGAACUGGACUUACAUCAAGGUCUUCCUUAUUCCUUUCGCCAUGUACAAUGUUUCAUUGUUGAGGGAAUUUAUCCUCCUCAAUCUGAAUUACAGUUCCUGAUUCCAUCAAGAACUUCUACAUUUCAUAAAUUAUUAAUUCAAACUGUACUAUUUGAUUUGAAUUUUCUUUCAGAAUUGCAAUUAUGUAGUACUGUGCAACCCAUUUGCUCCUGAAUUAAAGAUGGAGACCCAUUUUUAAAUUAAAAUAUUUACUUGUGCAGAAUGAAAAGCAAGUAAAACAAGCAAGUGCAAUGUCUCAGCAAGUCUGUCCAGCGAUGAGUUCAAGUUCAGGAGAUGAUGACCAAGGGGUUGAGAGUGCUUGCCAUGUGCCUGAUGCUCGUAGUGACCACAGGUGUUUCAGUGACGAGGAAUGUGGGGUUGACGCGAUCAGCUGCAGAAGAAGAUCAUGCAGCAUUGCUGGCUACUGUGGACUAUGGCUGUUCAUAUGACACUGAUAUAAACAGGCAUUAUUUCAUGACAUACAGCAAAAUUCA
rnacentral:misc_RNA from 1 species